GUGUGACUUGUGGGGAAGGAGAUACAUUAUCAGGUAUAGAUUUGUGUGUGACUUGUGUGUGGGGAAGGAGAUACAUUAUCAGGUAUAGAUUUGUGUGUGACUUGUGUGUGGGGAAGGAGAUACAUUAUCAGACAUAGAUUUGUGUGUGACUUGUGUGUGGGGAAGGAGAUACAUUAUCAGGUAUAGAUUUGUGUGUGACUUGUGGGGAAGGAGAUACAUUAUCAGGUAUAGAUUUGUGUGUGACUUGUGUGUGGGGGGAAGGAGAUACAUUAUCAGGUAUAGAUUUGUGUGUGACUUGUGUGUGUGGGGAAGGAGAUACAUUAUCAGGUAUAGAUUUGUGUGUG